CGCUCCGCCCCGGAGGCGGCGGGCAGGCAGCACUGCCUUCUCCAGCGUCCAGACCCUGGAGGAAAAAUACCAGGAGAAACUGCUCACUCAGCUCUGCCCCCACCACACCCCUACCUGCUCAACUCAUGCCUGGGUCCAGGGUGGGUGAGGGUGAAGAACCCACCGGGCCAAGAUGAUCCCUUUUCUGAGGGCUGCUGCUGGUGUCCUCCCCCAGAUCCUGGGCCCCAGCAGGUGGGAGAGUGGCCCCCUACGGAGUCCGAUCAGACUGCUGCAGAGGAGGUGAAGAGGGGUUGAGAAGAGGCAUCCAUCCACGAGACUGAAGCCACUUGCCUUCACCCUUGUAGACUCUUGACUGUUCUAGGCGAGAAGGACCUGUUGGUGGCCUUUGGA
ensembl:lncRNA novel transcript (LOC100132318)